GGGACCUACUUGUUUAUAUCUCUUUAUUUUCUCUACUUUCUGGAAAAUUGUUUCUUUAUGUAAAGAAUAAACACUCAGAUUGCGCAUUCACUUCUCACUCUUCCUCUUCCCAGCUCCCCCCUCUCUUUAAUUCUUUCUCUGACAGUCUCAUAAAAUUUUUAUCAGCAAGAUCUCUCUUCAAGGCCAACCUGAAAGUAGCUGAUUUUGUUUUAAUUCAAGAUUUGAAAACAAGAGACUUAUGUGCACAAAGUACACCCAAUUUUGUAUCAGAAAUACACGUUUCUGAACUUUGUAUGUGUGUUUACAGAUAAAGGUACACACUGUAGAAGGUACUUUUUUCUUUGGUUUUCUGGGUCUCUCUCUGAACAUUUUGCGUUAUGCUAUGUAAUUUUUUUGUGAUUGGAACCUUUACUUAGGAAAUGGGAUUUCUUUAAUUUUUCGAAUCCGAUCUGAUUUUGGACAUGGGUCACUCUUU
rnacentral:lncRNA from 1 species